rnacentral:tRNA from 1 species
AAAAAUUUAGUUAAUUUAAUAACAUUAGUUUGUCAAACUAAAAUAAUUUCUCAAAAAGAAAUAAUUUUUA